UCCCUCGUAGUUCAGUCGGUAGAACGGCGGACUGUUAAUCCGUAUGUCACAGGUUCAAGUCCUGUCGGGGGAGCCA
rnacentral:tRNA from 2 species